GGAUGAGGGAAGCUACGUCCAUUCCUUCUGGCCACACUCCUCGUCUAUCCUUUCUGCUCCGGGGGGGUAACCCUUGAAGCUGCAUCCUCAUGUCCUGGUGCCAGAUUUUUUCACCAUCCAGGAAACUGGGAACCAGAUAGCAAUGGCGUGGCGGCUCAUCAAGUCUUCCAAUUCCAACCAAAAGUCUCCACUUCCCUACGCCACAGAAAAUUUAUAGGAUAAAUUCUGCUAUUAGUCCCUAUUAGUCCCUAUAUUAUGCUUAAAUUAUAGAUUUAGUCCCUAUAUUUCAAUUUGGCCAUUUUCAGUACUUAUACUUUUAGAAUUUUUAAAAUUUUGGCUUUGUCCAAAUGGUAGCUACUAAAGUCAUUUAUUUUAUUUUCAAAAUUUGAUGCAACAA